rnacentral:rRNA from 1 species
CCUACGGGGGGCUGCAGUGGGGAAUAUUGCGCAAUGGGCGAAAGCCUGACGCAGCAACGCCGUGUGAGGGAUGAAGGCUUUCGGGUCGUAAACCUCUGUCGGAAGGGAAGAACGGGCAUUGGUCUAAUAGGCCUUUGUUUUGACGGUACCUUUAGAGGAAGCACCGGCUAACUCCGUGCCAGCAGCCGCGGUAAUACGGAGGGUGCAAGCGUUAUUCGGAAUUACUGGGCGUAAAGCGCACGUAGGCGGCUUCGUAAGUCAGGGGUGAAAUCCCACGGCUCAACCGUGGAACUGCCUUUGAAACUGCAAAGCUUGAAUCCUGGAGAGGGUGGCGGAAUUCCUGGUGUAGGAGUGAAAUCCGUAGAUAUCAGGAGGAACACCGGUGGCGAAGGCGGCCACCUGGACAGGUAUUGACGCUGAGGUGCGAAAGUGUGGGGAGCAAACAGGAUUAGAUACCCCAGUAGUC